GACGAACGCUGGCGGCGUGCUUAACACAUGCAAGUCGAACGGAAAGGCCCUGCUUUUGUGGGGUGCUCGAGUGGCGAAGGGGUGAGUAACACGUGAGUAACCUGCCCUUGACUUUGGGAUAACUUCAGGAAACUGGGGCUAAUAUCGGAUAGGAGCUCCUGCUGCAUGGGGGGGGUUGGAAAGUUUCGGCGGUUGGGGAUGGACUCGCGGCUUAUCAGCUUGUUGGUGGGGUAGUGGCUUACCAAGGCUUUGACGGGUAGCCGGCCUGAGAGGGUGACCGGACACAUUGGGACUGAGAUACGGCCCAGACUCCUACGGGAGGCAGCAGUGGGGAAUAUUGCACAAUGGGCGGAAGCCUGAUGCAGCAACGCCGCGUGCGGGAUGACGGCCUUCGGGUUGUAAACCGCUUUCGCCUGUGACGAAGCGUGAGUGACGGUAAUGGGUAAAGAAGCACCGGCUAACUACGUG
rnacentral:rRNA from 1 species